rnacentral:rRNA from 1 species
AUUGAACGCUGGCGGAAUGCUUUACACAUGCAAGUCGAACGGCAGCACGGGGCAACCUGGUGGCGAGUGGCGAACGGGUGAGUAAUACAUCGGAACGUGCCCAAUCGUGGGGGAUAACGUAGCGAAAGUUACGCUAAUACCGCAUACGAUCUACGGAUGAAAGCGGGGGAUCGCAAGACCUCGCGCGAAUGGAGCGGCCGAUGUCAGAUUAGGUAGUUGGUGGGGUAAAGGCUCACCAAGCCAACGAUCUGUAGCUGGUCUGAGAGGACGACCAGCCACACUGGAACUGAGACACGGUCCAGACUCCUACGGGAGGCAGCAGUGGGGAAUUUUGGACAAUGGGCGCAAGCCUGAUCCAGCCAUUCCGCGUGCAGGAUGAAGGCCUUCGGUUGUAAACUGCUUUGUACGGUAACGAAACGGUACGUGCCCUAAUACGGUGGCGUAAUGACGGUACCGUAAGGAAU